GAUGAACGCUAGCUACAGGCUUAACACAUGCAAGUCGAGGGGCAGCAUGGACAUAGCUUGCUAUGUUUGAUGGCGACCGGCGCACGGGUGCGUAACACGUAUCCAAUCUGCCCGUUACUCGGGGAUAGCCUUCUGAAAGGAAGAUUAAUACCCGACGGCAUGUAUUUCCGGCAUCGGAGAUACAUUAAAGAUUUAUCGGUAACGGAUGAGGAUGCGUACGAUUAGCUUGUUGGCGGGGUAACGGCCCACCAAGGCGACGAUCGUUAGGGGUUCUGAGAGGAAGGUCCCCCACACUGGAACUGAGACACGGUCCAGACUCCUACGGGAGGCAGCAGUGAGGAAUAUUGGUCAAUGGUCGGAAGACUGAACCAGCCAAGUAGCGUGAAGGAUGACUGCCCUACGGGUUGUAAACUUCUUUUGUUUGGGAAUAAAAGACGCUACGUGUAGCGUUCUGCAUGUACCUUACGAAUAAGCAUAGGCUAAUUCCGUGCCAGCCGCCGCCGUAAGAC
rnacentral:rRNA from 1 species